rnacentral:lncRNA from 1 species
UUGCAAGUAGUGCGAUUAUCCAUCAUAACACUUCCACUUUCACAAGAUUUAUAGAAAUCAAAUAAAGAUUUAUUUGGUGUUAUAUGAUAAGAACAAUCCGAAUCUAAUAUCCAGUCAGCAAGAGAUUCAAUACCUGAAGAAACCGUCAAAACAUCAUGAUUUUGAUCGGGAUCAUUAGCUACGCUUACUGUACUUGAAGAGGAAUUCUUCUUUGCAGCCAUGCCUUUGAAUACCUUUGAAUACUCCUCUUUUAUGCAGCUCCAACAUCCCUUUCUCACUCAUGUGGGCUAAUCUCAUGUGCCAAAGUUCUGCAUCAUCGGCAUCAUGAUCAUCUGAGGAUGUCACUGCAACACCUCCAAUCACCGACUCGCCGAUCAACCUGUAUAGGUUU